CCUACGGGGGACAGCAGUUGGGAAUAUUGCACAAUGGGGGAAACCCUGAUGCAGCGACGCCGCGUGGGUGACGAAGUAUUUCGGUAUGUAAAGCCCUAUCAGCAGGGAAGAAGAUGACAGUACCUGACUAAGAAGCCCCGGCUAACUACGUGCCAGCAGCCGCGGUAUUACGUAGGGGGCACGCGUUAUCCGGAUUUACUGGGUGUAACGGGAGCGUAGGUGGCUUGGCAAGCCAGAAGUGAAAACCCGGGGCUUAACCCCGCGGAUUGCUUUUGGAACUGUCAGGCUGGAGGGCAGGAGGGGCAGGCGGAAUUCCGGGUGUAGCGGUGAAAUGCGUAGAUAUCAGGAGGAACACCGGUGGCGAAGGCGGCCUGCUGGACUGUAACUGACACUGAGGCUCGAAAGCGUGGGGAGCAAACAGGAGUAGAUACCCCUGUAGUC
rnacentral:rRNA from 1 species